rnacentral:rRNA from 1 species
AGCGGCAGGCCUAAUACAUGCAAGUCGGACGGGAUUGGAGAGCUUGCUUUCCACGAGAGUGGCGCACGGGUGCGUAACACGUAUGUAACCUACCUUUAUCAGGGGGAUAGCCUCUCGAAAGAGAGAUUAAGCCCGCAUAACGUUGCACUGUGGCAUCACAGCACAAUCAAAUAUUUAUAGGAUAAAGAUGGGCAUGCGGAACAUUAGCUAGUUGGUAAGGUAACGGCUUACCAAGGCUACGAUGUUUAGGGGAUCUGAGAGGAUGACCCCCCACACUGGUACUGAGACACGGACCAGACUCCUACGGGAGGCAGCAGUAAGGAAUAUUGGUCAAUGGGCGGAAGCCUGAACCAGCCAUGCCGCGUGCAGGAAGACGGCCCUACGGGUUGUAAACUGCUUUUACAGGGGAAUAAACCUUUCUAUGUAUAGGAAGCUGAAUGUACUCUGAGAAUAAGGAUCGGCUAACUCCGUGCCAGCAGCCGCGGUAAUACGGAGGAUCCAAGCGUUAUCCGGAUUUAUUGGGUUUAAAGGGUGCGUAGGCGGCCUAUUAAGUCAGGGGUGAAAGACGGUAGCUUAACUAUCGCAGUGCCUUUGAUACUGAUGGGCUUGAAUGU